rnacentral:rRNA from 1 species
CCUACGGGAGGCUGCAGUGGGGAAUAUUGGACAAUGGGCGAAAGCCUGAUCCAGCCAUGCCGCGUGUGUGAAGAAGGCCUUCGGGUUGUAAAGCACUUUCAGUGGGGAAGAAAGCCUUGGGGCGAAUACCCUCGAGGAUGGACAUCACCCACAGAGGAAGCACCGGCUAACUCCGUGCCAGCAGCCGCGGUAAUACGGAGGGUGCGAGCGUUAAUCGGAAUUACUGGGCGUAAAGCGCGCGUAGGCGGUCUGAUAAGCCGGUUGUGAAAGCCCCGGGCUCAACCUGGGAACGGCAUCCGGAACUGUCAGGCUUGAGUGCAGGAGAGGAAGGUAGAAUUCCCGGUGUAGCGGUGAAAUGCGUAGAGAUCGGGAGGAAUACCAGUGGCGAAGGCGGCCUUCUGGACUGACACUGACGCUGAGGUGCGAAAGCGUGGGUAGCAAACAGGAUUAGAUACCCGAGUAGUC